GAGUUUGAUCCUGGCUCAGGAUGAACGCUGGCGGCGUGCUUAACACAUGCAAGUCGAACGGGGGUGCCAUGAACGAAGCAUCAGUUUACUGAUAUGGAGGGAAUGGGACCCUAGUGGCGGACGGGUGAGUAACGCGUGGGUAACCUGCCCCAUACCGGGGGAUAACACUUAGAAAUAGGUGCUAAUACCGCAUAAGCGCACGGUACUGCAUGGUACAGUGUGAAAAACUCCGGUGGUAUGGGAUGGACCCGCGUCUGAUUAGCUUGUUGGCGGGGUAACGGCCCACCAAGGCGACGAUCAGUAGCCGGCCUGAGAGGGUGGACGGCCACAUUGGGACUGAGACACGGUCCAAACUCCUACGGGAGGCAGCAGUGGGGAAUAUUGCACAAUGGGGGAAACCCUGAUGCAGCGACGCCGCGUGAGUGAAGAAGUAUUUCGGUAUGUAAAGCUCUGUCAGCAGGGAAGAAAAUGACGGUACCUGACCAAGAAGCCCCGGCUAACUACGUGCCAGCAGCCGCGGUAAUACGUAGGGGGCAAGCGUUAUCCGGAUUUACUGGGUGUAAAGGGAGCGUAGACGGCAGGGCAAGUCUGGAGUGAAAGGCGGGGGCUCAACCCCCGGACUGCUCUGGAAACUGCCAGGCU
rnacentral:rRNA from 1 species